GGGUUGUGAGGUUAAGCGACUAAGCGUACACGGUGGAUGCCCUGGCAGUCAGAGGCGAUGAAGGACGUGCUAAUCUGCGAUAAGCGUCGGUAAGGUGAUAUGAACCGUUAUAACCGGCGAUUUCCGAAUGGGGAAACCCAGUGUGAUUCGUCACACUAUCAUUAACUGAAUCCAUAGGUUAAUGAGGCGAACCGGGGGAACUGAAACAUCUAAGUACCCCGAGGAAAAGAAAUCAACCGAGAUUCCCCCAGUAGCGGCGAGCGAACGGGGAGCAGCCCAGAGCCUGAAUCAGUGUGUGUGUUAGUGGAAGCGUCUGGAAAGGCGUGCGAUACAGGGUGACAGCCCCGUACACAAAAAUGCACAUGCUGUGAGCUCGAUGAGUAGGGCGGGACACGUGGUAUCCUGUCUGAAUAUGGGGGGACCAUCCUCCAAGGCUAAAUACUCCUGACUGACCGAUAGUGAACCAGUACCGUGAGGGAAAGGCGAAAAGAACCCCGGCGAGGGGAGUGAAAAAGAACCUGAAACCGUGUACGUACAAGCAGUGGGAGCACAGAGCAAUCUGUGUGACUGCGUACCUUUUGUAUAAUGGGUCAGCGACUUAUAUUCUGUAGCAAGGUUAACCGAAUAGGGGAGCCGAAGGGAAACCGAGUCUUAACUGGGCGUUAAGUUGCAGGGUAUAGACCCGAAACCCGGUGAUCUAGCCAUGGGCAGGUUGAAGGUUGGGUAACACUAACUGGAGGACCGAACCGACUAAUGUUGAAAAAUUAGCGGAUGACUUGUGGCUGGGGGUGAAAGGCCAAUCAAACCGGGAGAUAGCUGGUUCUCCCCGAAAGCUAUUUAGGUAGCGCCUCGUGAAUUCAUCUCCGGGGGUAGAGCACUGUUUCGGCAAGGGGGUCAUCCCGACUUACCAACCCGAUGCAAACUGCGAAUACCGGAGAAUGUUAUCACGGGAGACACACGGCGGGUGCUAACGUCCGUCGUGAAGAGGGAAACAACCCAGACCGCCAGCUAAGGUCCCAAAGUCAUGGUUAAGUGGGAAACGAUGUGGGAAGGCCCAGACAGCCAGGAUGUUGGCUUAGAAGCAGCCAUCAUUUAAAGAAAGCGUAAUAGCUCACUGGUCGAGUCGGCCUGCGCGGAAGAUGUAACGGGGCUAAACCAUGCACCGAAGCUGCGGCAGCGACGCUUAUGCGUUGUUGGGUAGGGGAGCGUUCUGUAAGCCUGCGAAGGUGUGCUGUGAGGCAUGCUGGAGGUAUCAGAAGUGCGAAUGCUGACAUAAGUAACGAUAAAGCGGGUGAAAAGCCCGCUCGCCGGAAGACCAAGGGUUCCUGUCCAACGUUAAUCGGGGCAGGGUGAGUCGACCCCUAAGGCGAGGCCGAAAGGCGUAGUCGAUGGGAAACAGGUUAAUAUUCCUGUACUUGGUGUUACUGCGAAGAGGGGACGGAGAAGGCUAUGUUGGCCGGGCGACGGUUGUCCCGGUUUAAGCGUGUAGGCUGGUUUUCCAGGCAAAUCCGGAAAACUAAGGCUGAGGCGUGAUGACGAGGCACUACGGUGCUGAAGCAACAAAUGCCCUGCUUCCAGGAAAAGCCUCUAAGCAUCAGGUAACAUCAAAUCGUACCCCAAACCGACACAGGUGGUCAGGUAGAGAAUACCAAGGCGCUUGAGAGAACUCGGGUGAAGGAACUAGGCAAAAUGGUGCCGUAACUUCGGGAGAAGGCACGCUGAUAUGUAGGUGAAGCGACUUGCUCGUGGAGCUGAAAUCAGUCGAAGAUACCAGCUGGCUGCAACUGUUUAUUAAAAACACAGCACUGUGCAAACACGAAAGUGGACGUAUACGGUGUGACGCCUGCCCGGUGCCGGAAGGUUAAUUGAUGGGGUCAGCGCAAGCGAAGCUCUUGAUCGAAGCCCCGGUAAACGGCGGCCGUAACUAUAACGGUCCUAAGGUAGCGAAAUUCCUUGUCGGGUAAGUUCCGACCUGCACGAAUGGCGUAAUGAUGGCCAGGCUGUCUCCACCCGAGACUCAGUGAAAUUGAACUCGCUGUGAAGAUGCAGUGUACCCGCGGCAAGACGGAAAGACCCCGUGAACCUUUACUAUAGCUUGACACUGAACAUUGAGCCUUGAUGUGUAGGAUAGGUGGGAGGCUUUGAAGUGUGGACGCCAGUCUGCAUGGAGCCGACCUUGAAAUACCACCCUUUAAUGUUUGAUGUUCUAACGUUGACCCGUAAUCCGGGUUGCGGACAGUGUCUGGUGGGUAGUUUGACUGGGGCGGUCUCCUCCUAAAGAGUAACGGAGGAGCACGAAGGUUGGCUAAUCCUGGUCGGACAUCAGGAGGUUAGUGCAAUGGCAUAAGCCAGCUUGACUGCGAGCGUGACGGCGCGAGCAGGUGCGAAAGCAGGUCAUAGUGAUCCGGUGGUUCUGAAUGGAAGGGCCAUCGCUCAACGGAUAAAAGGUACUCCGGGGAUAACAGGCUGAUACCGCCCAAGAGUUCAUAUCGACGGCGGUGUUUGGCACCUCGAUGUCGGCUCAUCACAUCCUGGGGCUGAAGUAGGUCCCAAGGGUAUGGCUGUUCGCCAUUUAAAGUGGUACGCGAGCUGGGUUUAGAACGUCGUGAGACAGUUCGGUCCCUAUCUGCCGUGGGCGCUGGAGAACUGAGGGGGGCUGCUCCUAGUACGAGAGGACCGGAGUGGACGCAUCACUGGUGUUCGGGUUGUCAUGCCAAUGGCACUGCCCGGUAGCUAAAUGCGGAAGAGAUAAGUGCUGAAAGCAUCUAAGCACGAAACUUGCCCCGAGAUGAGUUCUCCCUGACUCCUUGAGAGUCCUGAAGGAACGUUGAAGACGACGACGUUGAUAGGCCGGGUGUGUAAGCGCAGCGAUGCGUUGAGCUAACCGGUACUAAUGAACCGUGAGGCUUAACCUUACAACGCCGAAGGUGUUU
rnacentral:rRNA from 1 species